GUAAGCGACUAAUCGUACACGUUGGAUGCCCUGGCAGUCAGAGGCGAUGAAGGACGUGCUAAUCUGCGAAAAGCGUCGGUAAGUUGAUAUGAACCGUUACAGCCUGCGAUGUCCGAAUGGGGAAACCCAGUGCAAUUCGUUGCACUAUCGUUAACUGAAUACAUAGGUUAACGAGGCGAACCGGGGGAACUGAAACAUCUAAGUACCCCGAGGAAAAGAAAUCAACCGAGAUUCCCCCAGUAGCGGCGAGCGAACGGGGAGCAGCCCAGAGUCUGAAUCAGCUUGUGUGUUAGUGGAACGGUCUGGAAAGUCCGACGGUACAGGGUGAUAGUCCCGUACACCAAAAUGCACAGGUUGUGAACUCGAAGAGUAGGGCGGGACACGUGGUAUCCUGUCUGAAUAUGGGGGGACCAUCCUCCAAGGCUAAAUACUCCUGACUGACCGAUAGUGAACCAGUACCGUGAGGGAAAGGCGAAAAGAACCCCGGCGAGGGGAGUGAAAAAGAACCUGAAACCGUGUACGUACAAGCAGUGGGAGCACCUUCGGGUGUGACUGCGUACCUUUUGUAUAAUGGGUCAGCGACUUAUAUUCUGUAGCAAGGUUAACCGUAUAGGGGAGCCGCAGGGAAACCGAGUCUUAACUGGGCGUUAAGUUGCAGGGUAUAGACCCGAAACCCGGUGAUCUAGCCAUGGGCAGGUUGAAGGUUGGGUAACACUAACUGGAGGACCGAACCGACUAAUGUUGAAAAAUUAGCGGAUGACUUGUGGCUGGGGGUGAAAGGCCAAUCAAACCGGGAGAUAGCUGGUUCUCCCCGAAAGCUAUUUAGGUAGCGCCUCGUGAACUCAUCUUCGGGGGUAGAGCACUGUUUCGGCUAGGGGGUCAUCCCGACUUACCAACCCGAUGCAAACUACGAAUACCGAAGAAUGUUAUCACGGGAGACACACGGCGGGUGCUAACGUCCGUCGUGAAGAGGGAAACAACCCAGACCGCCAGCUAAGGUCCCAAAGUCAUGGUUAAGUGGGAAACGAUGUGGGAAGGCACAGACAGCCAGGAUGUUGGCUUAGAAGCAGCCAUCAUUUAAAGAAAGCGUAAUAGCUCACUGGUCGAGUCGGCCUGCGCGGAAGAUGUAACGGGGCUAAACCAUGCACCGAAGCUGCGGCAGCGACACGAUGUGUUGUUGGGUAGGGGAGCGUUCUGUAAGCCUGCGAAGGUGGCCUGUGAGGGUUGCUGGAGGUAUCAGAAGUGCGAAUGCUGACAUAAGUAACGAUAAAGCGGGUGAAAAGCCCGCUCGCCGGAAGACCAAGGGUUCCUGUCCAACGUUAAUCGGGGCAGGGUGAGUCGACCCCUAAGGCGAGGCCGAAAGGCGUAGUCGAUGGGAAACAGGUUAAUAUUCCUGUACUUGGUGUUACUGCGAAGGGGGGACGGAGAAGGCUAUGUUAGCCGGGCGACGGUUGUCCCGGUUUAAGCAUGUAGGCUGGUUAUCCAGGCAAAUCCGGAUAAUCAAGGCUGAGGUGUGAUGACGAGGCACUACGGUGCUGAAGUAACAAAUGCCCUGCUUCCAGGAAAAGCCUCUAAGCAUCAGGUAACAUCAAAUCGUACCCCAAACCGACACAGGUGGUCAGGUAGAGAAUACCAAGGCGCUUGAGAGAACUCGGGUGAAGGAACUAGGCAAAAUGGUGCCGUAACUUCGGGAGAAGGCACGCUGGUGUGUAGGUGAAGUCCCUGCGGAUGGAGCUGAGACCAGUCGAAGAUACCAGCUGGCUGCAACUGUUUAUUAAAAACACAGCACUGUGCAAACACGAAAGUGGACGUAUACGGUGUGACGCCUGCCCGGUGCCGGAAGGUUAAUUGAUGGGGUUAUCCGUAAGGAGAAGCUCUUGAUCGAAGCCCCGGUAAACGGCGGCCGUAACUAUAACGGUCCUAAGGUAGCGAAAUUCCUUGUCGGGUAAGUUCCGACCUGCACGAAUGGCGUAAUGAUGGCCAGGCUGUCUCCACCCGAGACUCAGUGAAAUUGAACUCGCUGUGAAGAUGCAGUGUACCCGCGGCAAGACGGAAAGACCCCGUGAACCUUUACUAUAGCUUGACACUGAACAUUGAGCCUUGAUGUGUAGGAUAGGUGGGAGGCUUUGAAGCGUGGACGCCAGUCUGCGUGGAGCCAACCUUGAAAUACCACCCUUUAAUGUUUGAUGUUCUAACGUGGGCCCCUAAUCGGGGUUGCGGACAGUGUCUGGUGGGUAGUUUGACUGGGGCGGUCUCCUCCCAAAGCGUAACGGAGGAGCACGAAGGUUAGCUAAUCCUGGUCGGACAUCAGGAGGUUAGUGCAAUGGCAUAAGCUAGCUUGACUGCGAGCGUGACGGCGCGAGCAGGUGCGAAAGCAGGUCAUAGUGAUCCGGUGGUUCUGAAUGGAAGGGCCAUCGCUCAACGGAUAAAAGGUACUCCGGGGAUAACAGGCUGAUACCGCCCAAGAGUUCAUAUCGACGGCGGUGUUUGGCACCUCGAUGUCGGCUCAUCACAUCCUGGGGCUGAAGUAGGUCCCAAGGGUAUGGCUGUUCGCCAUUUAAAGUGGUACGCGAGCUGGGUUUAGAACGUCGUGAGACAGUUCGGUCCCUAUCUGCCGUGGGCGCUGGAGAAUUGAGGGGGGCUGCUCCUAGUACGAGAGGACCGGAGUGGACGCAUCACUGGUGUUCGGGUUGUCAUGCCAAUGGCACUGCCCGGUAGCUAAAUGCGGAAGAGAUAAGUGCUGAAAGCAUCUAAGCACGAAACUUGCCCCGAGAUGAGUUCUCCCUGAGACUAUAAGUCUCCUGAAGGAACGUUGAAGACGACGACGUUGAUAGGCCGGGUGUGUAAGCGCAGCGAUGCGUUGAGCUAACCGGUACUAAUGAACCGUGAGGCUUAACCUU
rnacentral:rRNA from 1 species